rnacentral:rRNA from 1 species
UACGUAGGGUCCAAGCGUUAUCCGGAAUCACUGGGCGUAAAGCGUGCGUAGGUGGUUUGUUAAGUGCAGCAUUAAAUCCCGUGGCUCAACCAUGUGGCUGUGUUGCAUACUGGCAAACUGGAGGAUAUGAGAGGCAAGUGGAAUUACCGGUGUAGCAGUGAAAAUGCGUAGAGAUCGGUAGGAACACCAAUGGCGAAGGCAGCUUGCUGGCAUAUUUCUGACGCUAAGGCACGAAAAGCGUGGGGGAGCGAAACAGG